rnacentral:rRNA from 1 species
GAUGAACGCUGGCGGCGUGCCUAAUACAUGCCAGUCGAGCGAACAGACGAGGAGCUUGCUCCUCUGACGUUAGCGGCGGACGGGUGAGUAACACGUGGAUAACCUACCUAUAAGACUGGGAUAACUUCGGGAAACCGGAGCUAAUACCGGAUAAUAUAUUGAACCGCAUGGUUCAAUAGUGAAAGACGGUUUUGCUGUCACUUAUAGAUGGAUCCGCGCCGCAUUAGCAAGUUGGUAAGGUAACGGCUUACCAAGGCGACGAUGCGUAGCCGACCUGAGAGGGUGAUCGGCCACACUGGAACUGAGACACGGUCCAGACUCCUACGGGAGGCAGCAGUAGGGAAUCUUCCGCAAUGGGCGAAAGCCUGACGGAGCAACGCCGCGUGAGUGAUGAAGGUCUUCGGAUCGUAAAACUCUGUUAUUAGGGAAGAACAAAUGUGUAAGUAACUAUGCACGUCUUGACGGUACCUAAUCAGAAAGCCACGGCUAACUACGUG